rnacentral:misc_RNA from 1 species
GAUGAAGAACGUAGCGAAAUGCGAUAAGUAAUGUGAAUUGCAGAAUUCAGUGAAUCAUCGAAUCUUUGAACGCACAUUGCGCCCGUCAGUAUUCUGGCGGGCAUGCCUGUUCGAGCGUCAUUACGCCCCUCAAGUCCCCUGUGGACUUGGUGUUGGGGAUCGGCGAGGCUGGUUUUCCAGCACAGCCGUCCCUUAAAUUAAUUGGCGGUCUCGCCGUGGCCCUCCUCUGCGCAGUAGUAAAACACUCGCAACAGGAGCCCGGCGCGGUCCACUGCCGUAAAACCCCCCAACUUUUUAUAGUUGACCUCGAAUCAGGUAGGACUACCCGCUGAACUUAAGCAUAUCAAUAAGCGGAAGGA